CACAUGCAAGUCGAACGAACCUUCGGGUUAGUGGCGGACGGGUGAGUAACGCGUGAGAAUCUGCCCUCAGGAGGGGGAUAACGGUUGGAAACGACCGCUAAUACCCCAUAUGCCUACUGGUGAAAUGAAUUUCGCCUGAGGAUGAGCUCGCGUCUGAUUAGCUAGUUGGUGAGGUAAUGGCUCACCAAGGCUUCGAUCAGUAGCUGGUCUGAGAGGAUGAUCAGCCACACUGGGACUGAGACACGGCCCAGACUCCUACGGGAGGCAGCAGUGGGGAAUUUUCCGCAAUGGGCGAAAGCCUGACGGAGCAACGCCGCGUGAGGGACGAAGGCCUCUGGGCUGUAAACCUCUUUUCUCAAGGAAGAAGAUAUGACGGUACUUGAGGAAUAAGCCACGGCUAAUUCCGUGCCAGCAGCCGCGGUAAUACGGGAGUGGCAAGCGUUAUCCGGAAUUAUUGGGCGUAAAGCGUCCGCAGGCGGCCUUUCAAGUCUGCUGUUAAAACGUGGAGCUUAACUCCAUCAUGGCAGUGGAAACUGAUUGGCUUGAGUAUGGUAGGGGCAGAGGGAAUUCCCGGUGUAGCGGUGAAAUGCGUAGAUAUCGGGAAGAACACCAGUGGCGAAGGCGCUCUGCUGGGCCAUUACUGACGCUCAUGGACGAAAGCCAGGGGAGCGAAAGGGAUUAGAUACCCCUGUAGUCCUGGCCGUAAACGAUGAACACUAGGUGUCGGGGGAAUCGACCCCUUCGGUGUCGUAGCUAACGCGUUAAGUGUUCCGCCUGGGGAGUACGCACGCAAGUGUGAAACUCAAAGGAAUUGACGGGGGCCCGCACAAGCGGUGGAGUAUGUGUUUAAUUCGAUGCACGCGAGAUCUUACCAGGGCUUGACAUCCUGCGAACUUUAGAAUUAGAGGGUGCCUUCGGGACGCAGUGACAGUGUGCAUGCUGUCGUCAGCUCGUGUCGUGAGAUGUGGUAGUCCCGCACGAGCGCAACCCACGUUUUUAUUGCAGCAUCAGUGGGCACUCUAGAAAGACGCCGGUGAUAAUCGCAGAAAGAUUGAUGAGUCAGCAUCAUGGCCUUAUUCCUGGGGUACACGUCUAUAAUGGGUACGGGAAAAGGGCGCC
rnacentral:rRNA from 1 species